AUUCGCCCGCCGCGCGCGGCGGGCGGGGCGGGGGCACGGGGGGCCUACGGGAGGCAGCAGUUAGGAAUUUUGGGCAAUGGGCGAAAGCCUGACCCAGCAACGCCGCGUGGGUGAUGAAGGCCUUCGGGUCGUAAAGCCCUUUUUCAGGGGAAGAUGAUGACGGUACCCUGAGAAUAAGCCCCGGCUAACUACGUGCCAGCAGCCGCGGUAAUAAUCUCUAGAGGAUCCCC
rnacentral:rRNA from 1 species